rnacentral:rRNA from 1 species
ACGAACGCUGGCGGCGUGCUUAACACAUGCAAGUCGAACGGAAAGGCCCUGCUUUUGUGGGGUGCUCGAGUGGCGAACGGGUGAGUAACACGUGAGUAACCUGCCCUUGACUUUGGGAUAACUUCAGGAAACUGGGGCUAAUACCGGAUAGGAGCUCCUGCUGCAUGGUGGGGGUUGGAAAGUUUCGGCGGUUGGGGAUGGACUCGCGGUUUAUCAGCUUGUUGGUGGGGUAGUGGCUUACCAAGGCUUUGACGGGUAGCCGGCCUGAGAGGGUGACCGGCCACAUUGGGACUGAGAUACGGCCCAGACUCCUACGGGAGGCAGCAGUGGGGAAUAUUGCACAAUGGGCGGAAGCCUGAUGCAGCAACGCCGCGUGCGGGAUGACGGCCUUCGGGUUGUAAACCGCUUUCGCCUGUGACGAAGCGUGCGUGACGGUAAUGGGUAAAGAAGCACCGGCUAACUACGUG